UGUUUGAUCCUGGCUCAGGAUGAACGCUGGCGGCGUGCCUAAUACAUGCAAGUCGAGCGAACAGACGAGGAGCUUGCUCCUCUGACGUUAGCGGCGGACGGGUGAGUAACACGUGGAUAACCUACCUAUAAGACUGGGAUAACUUCGGGAAACCGGAGCUAAUACCGGAUAAUAUAUUGAACCGCAUGGUUCAAUAGUGAAAGACGGUUUUGCUGUCACUUAUAGAUGGAUCCGCGCCGCAUUAGCUAGUUGGUAAGGUAACGGCUUACCAAGGCAACGAUGCGUAGCCGACCUGAGAGGGUGAUCGGCCACACUGGAACUGAGACACGGUCCAGACUCCUACGGGAGGCAGCAGUAGGGAAUCUUCCGCAAUGGGCGAAAGCCUGACGGAGCAACGCCGCGUGAGUGAUGAAGGUCUUCGGAUCGUAAAACUCUGUUAUUAGGGAAGAACAAAUGUGUAAGUAACUAUGCAC
rnacentral:rRNA from 1 species